AUAAAAAGUAAAAGUAAAAAUUAUGAGAUAAAAAGUCAUGACAAAAAGUCAACACAAGAUUAGGUUUUUAUUUGUAUACAAUAUAUUUAUAUACAGUAAAAUAUGGAAGCCCGUUCUACUACAUAAGAAAAAAAAUCAUAAGACAAGUCAUAAUUAUGUCAUAAAAAUUCAAAAUGAGAUACUGUCAUAAUUAUGAGAUAAAAAGUUGAAAUUAUAUAAAAAGAAAAAUUAGUCAUUUGACAAAAGUCAUAGCUAUGAGAUAAAAACUCAAAAUUAACACAAUUAUGACGCCAAUUAUGAAAUAAAAACUCAAAAUGGACACACUAAGUCAUAGCUAUGAGAACUCGAAAUUAUGACAAAAUUUUAUGAGACAGUCAUGACAAGUCGAAAUUAUGAUGUUAAUUAUGAGAUAAAAAGUCAUAGCUAUGAGAUAAAAACUUGAAAAUUAUUACAUAAAAAGUAAAAAUGUUUAUAUCAUAAGUCAUAAUUAUGAAAAAAAGUCAACAUUAUAAGUCAAAAUUAUGGCAAAAUGUCAAAAUUAUUUAUUAUUUAAAAAUGACUGCUUUUUAUCUCAUGAUUUUGACUUUUUGUGUCAUAUGUCAAACUGUAUAUUAUUUUCUAAUGUGGCUGAAAUGGGCAUGCACAAGUAUACCUUAUCUGUGUGUAUACAGUAUAUAGAGUAGAUUAAAUUGCCGUUUCAAUGAGUGCCAAUGUAACUAAAUUAACAGCAGUCUGCUGUUACACUGACCAAUAUUUGUUGCUGAAGGGAUUCUGAAUUAAUUUUUUUUUUUUUUUUUUACUUUUUAAGGUUAAAUGGUAACGUACGACAAAAAACGUACCCACUACAAUGUUGAGAAAUAAUUUAUUGAAAAUGUUUGUUCUUAUUGCUGGAGCAUCAAGUAAAUGACACAGAGCCUAAACGACUGUCAUUAUUAAUAUUAUCACACCUCCAGUACACUCUCGCCCUUCUUUUAAGCAUGAAAACAUUUGAAAUGCAUUGUGAUUGUAAGAACUACAUCAGGCUGACCUUAAAAGAAAAUAGAGACAUAACAAUGUUAAAAUCACUUUUAGUGAAGUACAAUUACAUACGAGUGCUACAUAGUGUGUUACAGAGUGUUACACCAUCCAGCUGUGUUGGCAUUGUAAAAGUGCUAAAAUAUCACUCCGAUAUUUACAACAACCUGCAGCAAACAAGCUUCUGAUUAGUCCAUACAUUACAGAAAAAUACUGUCACGGUACGUUUUUCUCUUUAAUCAGAAAUUGUUUGUGAAAGAUAAACAUCUGAAUAAGAAAUGCUCUCUAAUUUGUUAGUGCAAGGACACCCAUUU